GAAAUGCGAUAAGUAAUGUGAAUUGCAGAAUUCAGUGAAUCAUCGAAUCUUUGAACGCACAUUGCGCCCGCCAGCAUUCUGGCGGGCAUGCCUGUUCGAGCGUCAUUUCAACCCUCGAGCCCGACUUCCUUGCGGAGGACGGCUCGGCGUUGGGGGACGGCACACUCCCCCCGGCUCGCCGGGGACGCCGCCCCCGAAAUUCAGUGGCGGCCCUCGGAGGCGACCUCUGCGUAGUAACUCAACCUCGCAAAGGGAAGCUCCGAGCGGCCACGCCGUGAAACCCCAACUAUAUCAAGGUUGACCUCGAAUCAGGUAGGACUACCCGCUGAACUUAA
rnacentral:misc_RNA from 1 species